GAUGAAGAACGCAGCGAAAUGCGAUAAGUAAUGUGAAUUGCAGAAUUCAGUGAAUCAUCGAAUCUUUGAACGCACCUUGCGCCCUUUGGCUAUUCCGAAGGGCAUGCCUGUUUGAGUAUCAUGAACACCUCAACUCUCAUGGUUUGCCAUGAUGAGCUUGGACUUGGGGGUUUUGCUGGCCUUCGGUCGGCUCCUCUCAAACGGAUCAGCUUUCCAGUGUUUGGUGGCAUCACGGGUGUGAUAACUAUCUACGCCUGUGGUUUUCUGCCAGAUAACCUUCAGCGAUGGAGGUUCGCUGGGGCUCAUAAAUGUCUCUCUUCAGUGGAGACAGCUUUUUGGAUGUUUGAUCUCAAAUCAGGUAGGACUACCCGCUGAACUUAAGCAUAUCAAUAAGCGGAGGA
rnacentral:misc_RNA from 1 species